rnacentral:rRNA from 1 species
UUCGGGCCUGAGUCUAUGGCGCACGGGUGAGUAACACGUGAAUCAUCUACCUUCGAGUGGGGAAUAACUGAGAGAAAUCUUAGCUAAUACCGCAUAAUACCUACGGGUCAAAGCAGCAAUGCGCUUGAAGAGGAGUUCGCGGCAGAUUAGUUAGUUGGCGGGGUAAUGGCCCACCAAGACGAUGAUCUGUAUCCGGCCUGAGAGGGCGCACGGACACACUGGAACUGAAACACGGUCCAGACUCCUACGGGAGGCAGCAGUGGGGAAUUUUGCGCAAUGGGGGAAACCCUGACGCAGCAACGCCGCGUGGAGGAUGAAAUCCCUUGGGAUGUAAACUCCUUUCGAUAGGGAAGAUAAUGACGGUACCUAUAGAAGAAGCCCCGGCUAACUUCGUGCCAGCAGCCGCGGUAAUACGAGGGGGGCAAGCGUUGUUCGGAAUUAUUGGGCGUAAAGGGUGCGUAGGCGGUUUGACAAGUCUUAUGUGAAAUCUAUGGGCUCAACCCAUAGUCUGCAUGGGAAACUGUCGGGCUUGAGUAUGGGAGAGGUGAGUGGAAUUUCCGGUGUAGCGGUGAAAUGCGUAGAUAUCGGAAGGAACACCUGUGGCGAAAGCGGCUCACUGGACCAUAACUGACGCUGAUGCACGAAAGCUAGGGGAGCAAACAGGAUUAGAUACCCUGGUAGUCCUAGCCCUAAACGAUGAUGGUUUGAUGUGGGGGGGUACCCANUCCUCCCGUGUCGAAGCUAACGCGAUAACCAUCCGCCUGGGGAGUACGGUCGCAAGGCUGAAACUCAAAGGAUUUGACGGGGGCCCGCACAAGCGGUGGAGCAUGUGGGUUUUAAUUCGACGCACCGCGAAA